ACGGGUGAGUAAUACAUCGGAACGUGUCCUGUAGUGGGGGAUAGCCCGGCGAAAGCCGGAUUAAUACCGCAUACGCUCUACGGAGGAAAGGGGGGGAUCUUAGGACCUCUCGCUACAGGGGCGGCCGAUGGCAGAUUAGCUAGUUGGUGGGGUAAAGGCCUACCAAGGCGACGAUCUGUAGCUGGUCUGAGAGGACGACCAGCCACACUGGGACUGAGACACGGCCCAGACUCCUACGGGAGGCAGCAGUGGGGAAUUUUGGACAAUGGGCGCAAGCCUGAUCCAGCAAUGCCGCGUGUGUGAAGAAGGCCUUCGGGUUGUAAAGCACUUUUGUCCGGAAAGAAAACUUCUGGGUUAAUACCCUGGGAGGAUGACGGUACCGGAAGAAUAAGCACCGGCUAACUACGUGCCAGCAGCCGCGGUAAUACGUAGGGUGCAAGCGUUAAUCGGAAUUACUGGGCGUAAAGCGUGCGCAGGCGGUUCGCUAAGACAGAUGUGAAAUCCCCGGGCUUAACCUGGGAACUGCAUUUGUGACUGGCGGGCUAGAGUAUGGCAGAGGGGGGUAGAAUUCCACGUGUAGCA
rnacentral:rRNA from 1 species